rnacentral:rRNA from 1 species
AGGGAAUAUUGGACAAUGGGCGAAAGCCUGAUCCAGCCAUGCCGCGUGAUGGAUGAAGGCCCUCUGGGUUGUAAACAUCUUUUAUCAGGGAAGAAACAUUCCGUUUCUACGGAACUUGACGGUACCUGAUGAAUAAGCACCGGCUAACUCCGUGCCAGCAGCCGCGGUAAUACGGAGGGUGCAAGCGUUAUCCGGAUUUACUGGGUUUAAAGGGUGCGUAGGCGGGAAAAUAAGUCAGUGGUGAAAGCACCGGGCUCAACUCGGUAACUGCCAUUGAUACUGUUUUUCUUGAAUGCGAUUGAGGUAAGCGGAAUGUUGCAUGUAGCGGUGAAAUGCUUAGAUAUGUUACAGAACACCAAUUGUGAAGACAGCUUACUAAGUCGUGAUUGACGCUGAGGCACGAAAGCGUGGGGAGCAAAC